rnacentral:rRNA from 1 species
ACUCCUACGGGAGGCAGCAGUGGGGAAUAUUGGACAAUGGGCGAAAGCCUGAUCCAGCCAUGCCGCGUGUGUGAAGAAGGUCUUCGGAUUGUAAAGCACUUUAAGUUGGGAGGAAGGGCAGUUACCUAAUACGUGAUUGUUUUGACGUUACCGACAGAAUAAGCACCGGCUAACUCUGUGCCAGCAGCCGCGGUAAUACAGAGGGUGCAAGCGUUAAUCGGAAUUACUGGGCGUAAAGCGCGCGUAGGUGGUUAGUUAAGUUGGAUGUGAAAUCCCCGGGGCUCAACCUGGGAACUGCAUUCAAAACUGACUGACUAGAGUAUGGUAGAGGGUGGUGGAAUUUCCUGUGUAGCGGUGAAAUGCGUAGAGAUCUGAAGGAAUACCGGUGGCGAAGGCGGCCCCUGGACAGAUACUGACACUCAGAUGCGAAAGCGUGGGGAGCAAACAGGAUUAGAUACCCUGGUAGGAAAGCG